CGUGUAGGCGGUCAGGUAAGUGGAAUGUGAAAUGCCCCGGCUCACCCGGGGACCGGCAUCCCAAACUGCCUGGCUUGAGUAUGGGAGAGGAUGGAGGAAUUCCUGGUGUAGCGGUGAAAUGCGUAGAUAUCAGGAGGAACACCGGUGGCGAAGGCGUCCAUCUGGCCCAAUACUGACGCUGAGGCGCGAAAAGCUAGGGGAGCAAACG
rnacentral:rRNA from 1 species